UUAGCGGCGGACGGGUGAGUAACACGUGGGUAACCUACCUAUAAGACUGGAAUAACUUCGGGAAACCGGAGCUAAUGCCGGAUAACAUAUAGAACCGCAUGGUUCUAUAGUGAAAGAUGGUUUUGCUAUCACUUAUAGAUGGACCCGCGCCGUAUUAGCUAGUUGGUAAGGUAAUGGCUUACCAAGGCGACGAUACGUAGCCGACCUGAGAGGGUGAUCGGCCACACUGGAACUGAGACACGGUCCAGACUCCUACGGGAGGCAGCAGUAGGGAAUCUUCCGCAAUGGGCGAAAGCCUGACGGAGCAACGCCGCGUGAGUGAUGAAGGUUUUCGGAUCGUAAAACUCUGUUAUUAGGGAAGAACAAAUGCGUAAGUAACUGUGCGCAUCUUGACGGUACCUAAUCAGAAAGCCACGGCUAACUACGUGCCAGCAGCCGCGGUAAUACGUAGGUGGCAAGCGUUAUCCGGAAUUAUUGGGCGUAAAGCGCGCGUAGGCGGUUUCUUAAGUCUGAUGUGAAAGCCCACGGCUCAACCGUGGAGGGUCAUUGGAAACUGGGAAACUUGAGUGCAGAAGAGGAAAGUGGAAUUCCAUGUGUAGCGGUGAAAUGCGCAGAGAUAUGGAGGAACACCAGUGGCGAAGGCGACUUUCUGGUCUGUAACUGACGCUGAUGUGCGAAAGCGUGGGGAUCAAACAGGAUUAGAUACCCUGGUAGUCCACGCCGUAAACGAUGAGUGCUAAGUGUUAGGGGGUUUCCGCCCCUUAGUGCUGCAGCUAACGCAUUAAGCACUCCGCCUGGGGAGUACGACCGCAAGGUUGAAACUCAAAGGAAUUGACGGGGACCCGCACAAGCGGUGGAGCAUGUGGUUUAAUUCG
rnacentral:rRNA from 2 species